rnacentral:rRNA from 1 species
UACGAAGGGGGCUAGCGUUGCUCGGAAUUACUGGGCGUAAAGGGCGCGUAGGCGGACAGUUUAGUCGGGGGUGAAAGCCCGGGGCUCAACCUCGGAAUUGCCUUCGAUACUGGCUGUCUUGAGUGCGGGAGAGGUGUGUGGAACUCCGAGUGUAGAGGUGAAAUUCGUAGAUAUUCGGAAGAACACCAGUGGCGAAGGCGACACACUGGCCCGUUACUGACGCUGAGGCGCGAAAGCGUGGGGAGCAAACAGG